rnacentral:rRNA from 1 species
UACGAAGGGGGCUAGCGUUGUUCGGAAUCACUGGGCGUAAAGCGCGUGUAGGCGGAUUGUUAAGUCGGGGGUGAAAUCCCGAGGCUCAACCUCGGAACUGCCUUCGAUACUGGCGAUCUUGAGUCCGGGAGAGGUGAGUGGAACUCCUAGUGUAGAGGUGAAAUUCGUAGAUAUCGGGAGGAACACCAGUGGCGAAGGCGGCGAUCUGGGUCGAUACUGACGCUGAGGUGCGAAAGCGUGGGGAGCAAACAGG